GCUGGCGGCGUGCCUAAUACAUGCAAGUCGAGCGAACAGAUAAGGAGCUUGCUCCUUUGACGUUAGCGGCGGACGGGUGAGUAACACGUGGGUAACCUACCUAUAAGACUGGGAUAACUUCGGGAAACCGGAGCUAAUACCGGAUAACAUUUGGAACCGCAUGGUUCUAAAGUGAAAGAUGGUUUUGCUAUCACUUAUAGAUGGACCCGCGCCGUAUUAGCUAGUUGGUAAGGUAACGGCUUACCAAGGCGACGAUACGUAGCCGACCUGAGAGGGUGAUCGGCCACACUGGAACUGAGACACGGUCCAGACUCCUACGGGAGGCAGCAGUAGGGAAUCUUCCGCAAUGGGCGAAAGCCUGACGGAGCAACGCCGCGUGAGUGAUGAAGGGUUUCGGCUCGUAAAACUCUGUUAUUAGGGAAGAACAAACGUGUAAGUAACUGUGCACGUCUGACG
rnacentral:rRNA from 1 species